rnacentral:rRNA from 1 species
UACUAGAGUAGCACUCGCAUAUCAAUAAGCGGAGGAAAAGAAACUAACAAGGAUUCCCCUAGUAACGGCGAGUGAAGCGGGAAGAGCUCAAAUUUGAAAUCUUAAAGGGUUUCCCUUUACGAAUUGUAGUUUAAAGAAGUGUUUUCUGUUGAGGUUUUGGUAAAAGUUCUUUGGAAUAGGACAUCAUAGAGGGUGAGAAUCCCGUAUUUGACCUUUACUUUCAACUUUGUGAUACACUUUCAAAGAGUCGGAUUGUUUGGGAAUGCAGUCCAAAAUGGGUGGUAAAUUUCAUCUAAAGCUAAAUAUUGGCGAGAGACCGAUAGCGAACAAGUACCGUGAGGGAAAGAUGAAAAGAACUUUGAAAAGAGAGUUAAACAGUACGUGAAAUUGUCAAAAGGGAAGCGUUUGACACCAGUGUUGUUUUUCUGAAAAUCAAUUAAAGAACUGUUUAUGCUAAGCUGUUUAGACUUUAUCAGCUAACUGUUUAGUUUUGAGCUUUUCUUUAAUGCACUUUUCAGUUAACAAGUCAACAUCAAUUUCUUUUGCUGUAAAAAAGCUUGAGGAAGGUGGCUUGAGAUUCGUCUUAAGUGUUUAUAGCCUCUUGCCUAUGCAGUCGGAGAGAUUGAGGUCUGCAGCGUAGAUCCUUCGGGGCUAAAUGCAUUUGUGCUAAGUUAUAGCAUUUUAUAGACAACCUGUUGACUAUGAUUUGUCUUGUAGCUUACUCGCUUAUGUUAUUUUACCUACGCUUAGGAUGUUGAACUACUGAGACAUAGA